GGCUUUCAACAAGAAGGGAGAGAGACGAAAACAAAAGAAGGAUGAAGGAAACUGAGCCUCAACUCCACCAGGGACCUGGCACAGACGUGGAGCCUGUUUCACACAACUGGUACUUGAAGGAAAAAAGGAGCAAAUGAUACCAAGACAAGCUCAUAACAAAGAUCUAAUCACCAAAUUUGUAUGGAUGAAAAUACAGUGAGAUGAGUCAGAAAACUACUAAGGAGGGUCCCAGACUCUCCAAGAACCAGAAGUUUACAGAGCACUUCAGCAUACAUUGCUGCCCACCAUUCACCUUCCUCAACUCCAAGCGUGAGAUCGUGGAUCGGAAAUAUAGCAUCUGUAAAAGUGGCUGCUUCUACCAGAAGAAAGAAGAGGACUGGAUCUGCUGUGCCUGCCAGAAGACCAGCACCAGACGCCGUGCAACGUCCCCUCAGAGGCCCAAGCUCCAGCCAGCUGCACCCCCCGCGGUGGUCAGAGCACCAGCCAAGCCACGGUCCCCUCCGAGGUCUGAGCGUCAACCACGCCCCCGCCCAGAGGUCCGAUCACCACCAGCCAAGCAGCGCCCCCCUCAGAAGUCCAAGCAGCCGCCGCGCAGCAGCCCCCAGAGAGGGCCAGGCACCAGCCGUGGGGGGUCCCCCAUCAAAGCUUCUAGGUUCUGAUUGAAAAGGAGGAGCAAGCCAACCCCACGGAAAAAGUGAGGGAGGAGUUUCAAGUGAAUGGACCACCUCAGGACCUGGACUCACUGCUUCUUGACUCACGUGCUCUUGGGCAAGUCACCUAGCUUCAAAUAUGGUGCAGGGGCAGACACCUGCUGAUGUGGCAACUACCAAUGCCCACAGUCCCCUCGGUGCAGGGGUUGCCGGGCAGCCUGCCUGGAGCCUUGUGAAGAUACCCCUCUGUUGUCUUCUGACCUCUGUCACUGCCAAUGAGAAAUAUGUUGUCAGUCUACUUGUUCUUCCAUUGACUCAAGUUCCUUCAAUCUGAAGAUAUAUAUCUUUCUUCAGGGAUGCACACAAAAAAAUAUGGUUGUAUAGCCACCAUAAUGGCAAAAAUAAAAAUUUAUCAAGUUUUGGGAAAAAUUCUGAUAAGCCACUGAUAAAAAUUUAUAAACUAUUGUAAUACUUCUGGGGUACAAAAUGGGGAUGCUAGCCAAAUAAGAUAUUAUAUAACUUAUGAUCAAGCAAUUAUAAUUCUAGGUACUGAUCCUGGAGAAAACUUGCAUUCAUGAGAAAAGGAGGCACACAUACAUCUAUUCAGUAAAGAAUUGUUUGCCAUUGGAAAAGAAGAGAGAGAAAGAGAAAGGAAUUAAUAAAAAUGUUCACUAAUAGAAUGAGUAAAUCAACAAUGGUAUACUUAUAAAUAAAAUUCUUAACAGCAGUUAAAACAAAUGAAUCAUAUAUACCUACACCAGGUACACAAAUUUGUAUGACAAAUGAAGAAUAUAAAAAGCAAACAAUUAAUGGUAAAUGCAAUCUGAUGCCCCAUGCAUACAUUUUAAUGACCCAUAAUACUAUAAUUGUGUGAUAAGCAGAAACCAUGAUAUCUCAAAUGCUCUCUAUAAUGGAAUAGAUUUUUAAAAAUGACAACAAAAAAUGAAAGCCUAUCUAAAAAAUAUCUAGCCCCCAGAAGUCAAAGGGAAGAUAUGAAAUAAUUCCUGGCUUGAAUAAAUAAGAGAUUAAAACCUGUAUAGAAAUAGUCAACAAUAUUAGCCAGACACAAAGGAGUUUGGCGGGAUAAGUGGGAGACUCAUGAUCAGCCUGGGGUCUUUCUAAGGUUACAAGUCUUAGAGAACAGAACACUUACUCAUUUUGGACCUGGGUUGUGCUGUGGCUUCAGGCAGAUUUCUGACAUGUGGACAAAGGGGUAGAGUUGAAUACACCAUCCCUCCCAACCUUCCUGUAGCAAUAGGUAGGAAAGCACAGUAGAAGAUAAUGGAAUGUUGCAGAAUGUGGAGGGAUGUAAAAUGGGUAGUAUUAGUAGGGGAAGCUCAGGAGAAUGAGGGCAUCUGAAGCAGUCUUGUGCUGGGGGUUGGGUGGCCAAGCGCAGGCAGAUGCCUGACACUCCAACAAGGCUGUGGCUCUGUGUCCUUGAGUGAGCACAGCCAGACCCAGCCAAGUUUAAAAGGCAAGUGGGAAUAUGGAGCAAUGCCAGAGGAAGUCUGCUUAAGGUGUGGGGUUUGGGGGAGAGGAAAACCAGAGAGUAGGGAGGAAAAAUGCUAGACUCAGGUAUGAUCCAGCUCAGAAGACUAUUCCUCUGCAAAGCAGAAUCAGGCCAAGUACUCCCAAGGCAACUGGAAGAACAAGUCAGAGCAUUUGGCUUCCUCAGCUGGGGAGGCCACUUCUCUGGGCAAGUGGCAAUAAAAAGGCAGGGGAAUUGAACUACACAAAGCCCUCAGGUAGAAAUGUUUCUCCUGCCUAACCUCGGGUGCUAAAUGAACAACAAAAUGAGAACCUCUACUAUGAACACUUUUUAACAAUGAGAUAUGUGAAGCCAUUACAUUCCUGGGAAUGACACCAGGGGUGCCAUGACAGCCCACUAGAAAGAUCAAAUUUGUUGGCCAACCCCACUCAAACCUAAUAAGGAAACUUAAUAUUCCUUCAGCCCAUUUUAGAUUUUGGCAGAGCCAGACCUCAUACUUAAUAACUUCCUUGGUUCUAUCCUUUAUAUCACUCAGAAGAUACAGAUAUUACAGAAUGCAAAAUCAAGAAGGAAAGAGCAUGGUGUAUAUUAACUUAUGUAAAAAACUGGAUAAUACCACAGAAAUGUUAAUAACUAGAAAUUACUGAAUUGUCUGUGUUUGUCUGUUGUGGAAAUAAAACCCCUGGGGAUGGAUCAAAAAUAUCUGGAAAUUACUUGAAACUAGUGGAUAACUAAAUGGAUAUUAUAACUAAAAUGUGCUGUAAUCCAAUUGUGGCCUUCUUUUUUUUUUUUUUUUUGUCUUCUAAGUGUUGGUUCUGGGAAGCAUUAUGCCAUGAAUACUGCAAAGAUUACAUAAAGCUCCAAAUGCUAUUCUAUGUAAACUUCUUAAGUGGGGAUUCUUGACCAUAAUGUUUGGCAUAUUAACUCUGCUAAUUCUGUAUGUUAAUUGAUUUUAUGUUCUGAUAUUUUGACUGGUUUUGGAAAAACUGAGUUGUCCCAAAGCUGAACCCAGAGUUGUCCUGUAAAUGCCUGACAACAGGAUUUUUGGGUGGAAAGCCCUGAUUUUUAGUGUUUGCCAAUUUCCAUGGUGUAAACACUUCUGCUAUGGUUGAUUGCAGGCUGUGAGCAUGAUGUCACUGAGUGCAGAAUCAGGGGUGAUGAAUGCAGCCGACUCUUGUAAGUUGGUGUACCCACUAGUACCCAAGGGCAGGAAAUGCAGUUUUUUUAACUAAAAAUCCUGUCACAUAGAUAUACAAAGGCACUAGUGAAAGAAUAAAUAAGAAGGAAAAAUCAAAUCAAAUCAAACUGGGAGCUCAAACAGAGAUAAUUGACAGUGGAUUUUUUUUUUUUAAUUUUAAGAAGGGGUAUUUGUGUAUCACCUGCAUUUUUUUGUCUUUUAUUAUGCAAACAAGGCAUCAGGGAUAUCACACUGAGUGCUCUGAACUCUUAGUUUCUUUGGUGUUCUCCUACACAAAGGCUUGGGCUGCUUUCCUUCCAGAUAUUAGUGUGAAGAUAGUGCUAACCAAAGAAUCAAUGGGAGCUCCACACUUUGGAGUCAGUUUCAGGAUGGCUGAGCUGAAGUUCAAAACAGAAGAAAAGAUAUGAGCCUUCUGAAUUUGGAGGAGGCAAUGCUGAUAUUUAGACCCAUGGUUUGGUAUGAUAAAUACAGAGCUUUUUUAAAAUUAACAUUAAUAAAAACAAGGAAAAUGAGUUGUUGAAAAAUUGAAAUGGAUGAAUAAACUCUUCUAUCAGAGUAAGGAAAGAAGAACUUACUAAAAUAGAGGUGAAUUGAAAAUAUCAAUACAAAUUCUGAACAUUUUUUAAAGGAGACUUUAUCUGUUCUGUCCCUACAAUGAUUCAUGCUGUUGGAUAUUUUUGCUAUCAUCUUGCCAAAUUCCAGUCAGAAUGUGGAACAAGCUUAUUUGUAGAACUAGUGCUUGUGGCUUCUAAAACUAUUCUCUAGGGAAAAAGACAAAUACCCUUGGGGGAUAGUUGAUUUCAUAAUUCUGGGCAGAGGAAAAAAAAAUCAGGAUUAGCUUAGGGAUGUUGAAAGAAAGCAAAGUUGCCCUAUGGUAUCAAAGAGGCGUAAGUCCAUAAUGUUGUAAAAAAGAAGAUAAAAUAGAUUUGCCUGAAAAACA